rnacentral:ncRNA from 1 species
AACUGACAAAGGUAAACUAUUCUGAAAGGAUGGGGAGUAAAGUUAUGGGUCUAAAGCACUUUUAAGUGUUUUAGACAGCCAGAUUAUCUAU